rnacentral:rRNA from 1 species
UCGGAUUGCAGUCUGCAACUCGACUGCAUGAAGCCGGAAUCGCUAGUAAUCGCGGAUCAGAAUGCCGCGGUGAAUACGUUCCCGGGUCUUGUACACACCGCCCGUCACACCAUGGGGGUCGGAAAUGCCCGAAGCCGGUGGCCUAACCGAUAAGGGAGGAGCCGUCGAAGGCAGGUCUGAUGACUGGGGUGAAGUCGUAACAAGGUAUC